rnacentral:snRNA from 1 species
GGAUGUGAGGGUGAUCCGGCUGUGGCAUCUGUCACCCCAUUGAUCUCCAGGGUUGAUUCAACUAAUCUGGCUGGCUAGGUGGGUGUCCCUUCCUCCCUCAAUGCUCCCUGUGCAUCCAACCUUCCCCAACAGAGGAGGAUCAGUCUUUAGUCAAGGAUAUCCAAGUAGCUGCCCUUCCCUGCUAGGACCUUCACACAAGCUCUCAAACGACAAGCAUAAUAUUAUAAGCAGGUGUACAACAUGUCAAGAGCAAAACUAUCAACAGUAAUUUAUCGAGGCUAAACAGUGAUUUGU